CGUUUAUGUAGCUUAACUACCCAAAGCAAAACACUGAAAAUGUCGAGACGGCUCACCCGCCCCAUAAACA
rnacentral:tRNA from 1 species